rnacentral:rRNA from 1 species
CUCGAUCACCUUCUUCUACAUUGCCCAUUCUCCCGGAUCAUCUGGCACGAGAUCUUCGCCUGGUGCCGGCUGCCAAUUCCCCCUCCGGACACCGAUGAUUGCUUCCUCGAGUGGUGGGCUGAGUCUACUAGGCGGGCUCCUGCGGCCAUGCGGAAAGGACUCGCCUCCCUCACACUACUCACGGCGUGGUCCAUCUGGCGCCAUCGCAAUGCAUGCAUCUUCGACCACAUGCAACCCUCUGCUACGCACCUUCUUCAGGUCAUCAAGGACGACGCUCGGGCAUGGGCAUCUGCCGGGGCCAAGGACAUCGCAAACUUUAGGCCUCCCUGA